rnacentral:tRNA from 1 species
UUAAAGAUAAGCUAAAGCUAAGCUGACGGGUUCAUACCCCGUCUAUGGUGCACGCCUCUUUAAA